GAUGAAGAACGCAGCGAAAUGCGAUAAGUAAUGUGAAUUGCAGAAUUCAGUGAAUCAUCGAAUCUUUGAACGCACAUUGCGCCCGCCAGUAUUCUGGCGGGCUUGCCUGUUCGAGCGUCAUUUCAACCAUCAAGCCCCCGGCUUGUGUUGGGGACCUGCGGCUGCCGCAGGCCCUGAAAAGCAGUGGCGGGCUCGCUGUCACACCGAGCGUAGUAGCAUACAUCUCGCUCUGGGCGUGCUGCGGGUUCCGGCCGUUAAACCACCUUCAUAACCCAAGGUUGACCUCGGAUCAGGUAGGAAGACCCGCUGAACUUAAGCAUAUCAAUAAGCGGAGGA
rnacentral:misc_RNA from 1 species